GCCAGAAUAUCCAAACACAAUGGUCUCAGUUUUACCAUCAUUCAGGUAAAGGACAUUUUGGGACAGCCACUGCUUUCCAACAUGAAAACCUUUUUAAAUAAUG